GAUGAACGCUGGCGGCGUGCUUAACACAUGCAAGUCGAACGGUGAAGGCGGAGCUUGCUCUGCUGGAUCAGUGGCGAACGGGUGAGUAACACGUGAGCAAUCUGCCCCUGACUCUGGGAUAAGCGCUGGAAACGGCGUCUAAUACUGGAUACGAGCUGCAAAGGCAUCUUCAGCAGCUGGAAAGAAUUUCGGUCAGGGAUGAGCUCGCGGCCUAUCAGCUUGUUGGUGAGGUAAUGGCUCACCAAGGCGUCGACGGGUAGCCGGCCUGAGAGGGUGACCGGCCACACUGGGACUGAGACACGGCCCAGACUCCUACGGGAGGCAGCAGUGGGGAAUAUUGCACAAUGGGCGAAAGCCUGAUGCAGCAACGCCGCGUGAGGGACGACGGCCUUCGGGUUGUAAACCUCUUUUAGCAGGGAAGAAGCGAAAGUGACGGUACCUGCAGAAAAAGCGCCGGCUAACUACGUG
rnacentral:rRNA from 1 species